GGGCCCGUGGUCUAGGGGUUAUGACGUCGCAUUGACAUUGCGGAGGUCGCCGGUUCAAAUCCGGCCGGGCCCACCA
rnacentral:tRNA from 1 species